ACUGACAUCAAUUUGCCCUAUCUUACAAUGGAUUCUUCUGGACCCAAGCAUUUGAAUAUGAAGUUGACCCGUGCUCAAUUUGAAGGGAUUGUCACUGAUCUAAUCAGAAGGACUAUCGCUCCAUGCCAAAAAGCUAUGCAAGAUGCAGAAGUCAGCAAGAGUGACAUAGGAGAAGUGAUUCUUGUGGGUGGCAUGACUAGGAUGCCCAAGGUUCAGCAGACUGUACAGGAUCUUUUUGGCAGAGCCCCAAGUAAAGCUGUCAAUCCUGAUGAGGCUGUGGCCAUUGGAGCUGCCAUUCAGGGAGGUGUGUUGGCCGGCGAUGUCACGGAUGUGCUGCUCCUUGAUGUCACUCCCCUGUCUCUGGGUAUUGAAACUCUAGGAGGUGUCUUUACCAAACUUAUUAAUAGGAAUACCACUAUUCCAACCAAGAAGAGCCAGGUAAGAGCCAUCACUUCCUACCUUGUCACAUGGGUUUUAGGUUCUAUGACGGAUGUAAUUGCAGCCACUUUCAUGAGUUUUUUCUAGAAAACUUCAUUUUUUUCUGUUUUACAGUUUAGAAUAUUAAACAGAUAACUGUGGGUG
rnacentral:sRNA from 1 species